AAACCACGGUGAGGGAAUUUCCUUAAAAGAUCCUUGAACCUUUCAUGGGCUUCAAAUAGUGUCUCUAAAUCACCUUGCUGGAAAAUAGAAACUUCUUGUCUCAGUCU